CAUCCGAAAUUUAUCUAGCAUCUACAAAUAACCGAAUAUCUAAAUUGGCCGACUUCCGACUUCAGAUGUAGAUGUAUUGCAGCUUUCAUCGAUCUUAUCUUACUGAAUGCAAUUGACUCCGGUCACUUCUUUUCUUCGGCAUCUGUUUCUAUUGAACCACACCGAACUCUGAACUAAAGAAGCCGAUCUCACCCAAUACGUAUCCUUAUUUCAAAUUUCAAAGACAUCCACA
rnacentral:lncRNA from 1 species